UACGUAGGGGGCAAGCGUUGUCCGGAAUCAUUGGGCGUAAAGAGCGUGUAGGCGGCCCGAUAAGUCCGCUCUGAAAGCCCGGGGCUCAACCCCGGGAGGCGGGUGGAUACUGUCAAGCUCGAGUCCGGAAGAGGCGAGUGGAAUUCCUGGUGUAGCGGUGAAAUGCGCAGAUAUCAGGAGGAACACCAAUGGCGAAGGCAGCUCGCUGGGACGUGACUGACGCUGAGACGCGAAAGCGUGGGGAGCAAACAGG
rnacentral:rRNA from 1 species